rnacentral:rRNA from 1 species
CCCAAAAGAUAGUUACGUAACUUGAGCUGCACACGCGGGUGGGGUUCACAGGUGAGCCGGGAGAAAGGAGGUGUCGGUGUCUCGGUGUGUGAGGUUUCAGGUUUGAGCACCAAUGGUAGAGCCGUGGAGCGGCCUUCUUGUCUCGUUGGACGGACGGGCUCGUUCUCCUUCUUCUACCGGAGCAGGCGGAGGAACGAGGUGGGAAGGUGCGAGCGAGGCCGGAGGAGCGGCGGGGACGGCGCAGCGGGCGUCGAGCCGGAGGCGAGCUCGGGAGCGGCAGGGGCGCCGCAGAGCGACUGGCGGCGGCGGCGGCGCAGCGGCCUGCAUCUCUUCCUCGGGAGGAGCAGCGGGGGACGCGGAGGACUGCUCGGGAGGCUGGAUAGCCGGCACCGCCUCUCGCACUUCCACGAGUUCCUGCGCCGGUUCUGCUCCUUCCACGGCCGGCGCCUCCACGACCGCCGCGACCGGUUCUAGUUCUUCCGGUUCGAGCUGUGGAGGUGGAAGAAGCUCUGGGAGCCGCCCUGGCUCAGCGGCCCGUCCUGCACCUACGAGUAGAAGUGGCCGGUCCCAUCAUUCGAGCUCUUUCCGUCGAUGAAGGGCCACUGGCGGCAGGUCGCGAAGCUGCGGCGCCCGGUCUCCUAGCUCUUGCCGCACAUGGACCCGGGCCACCCCUCAGACUGGAAGCUCCCCGCCGACAGCACCUUCUUCUUCUAGGACCGGAAGCAGAAGCUCGCCUAUGCGCAGUUCCAGCCAGGCGACGGGAGGGACCUCUAGGGUGAGCCGCCGCCGCUGUGCUCGUCCCUCGGCUCGUGGUUCCUGGGGAAGAAGGACACCAAGAUGCACCUGCUCCUCUAGCGGCACCGCGUCCCGUUCCCGCCGCCGUGGCGGAAGACCACGGCUACGUUCGCGCAGGGCCGUACUGCUGGUUCCAGGGCAAGUCAAUCGCGCACUUCGUAGUCUCCGAGGGAGGGAGAGAAAGAAAGAGAUCAGACAUCGGUUACAAAAGUACAAGAACUCGCAAUGACAUGUGUUAAUACAUCUGCCUACUGCAUUAUAAGCUUGCUACUCUACUAUGAUGCAUGAAUGAACACGAAUAAAUAAAUAAAUAAAGACCAUAUUACCUCCUGAUAAAAAACUGUCCUUUUGAAGGCUAGAUAAGUGUUAUGUUGCUUGUUGUCUUUAUUCGCUUGGCUUCUAGAAUCUACUUCUUAGAACAGUUUGGUAGGCUGAGCGGCUAAAUGUACCAUGUCACUUGAUUACCUUCCUCUACUGUCCUUCAACGGAAAAGAAGGACACUCCAACUCCUUCAACUAAGGCCAUUGCAAAUACGUUGUGGGUAGGUUUGUUGAAGCAUCUUAAUGGCCCACGCAAGACACUAUAAAAAACAUGUCUUGCAAAAGAUAAAGUCAACCCAACAUAAACCCCGUCACGUAAUAAUCAUUCCCGCUUUAUAAAGAAUACAUGUAUAAUACGAUUUACUAACACCUCCCGUUGGGAAUAAAUCAUAUGGACCAAAUAAAUGGUAAACUAUAUCGACUAAACUUUUCCACACAAAAACCUGAAAGCACGGACACGUGUGUCCUUUUAUUUUCAGCUCUCCAAAUCUCUACUGUACUACAAAUGGUGUAUUAAUUCCCCGCGGUAUACACCUGAAUUGAAAAAAGGUUCUAUACAACGUGUUCCGAGGUCUUAGGUUGCAAGAACAUUGACAACAACAUGGAUACAACCAAACGGUUGAUAUUAAGAUCUUAAAGGAAAGCCUUGUAUUUUAAACCUUAAUGGUUAGCAAGGUAUCUUAACUCGAUAAAUUAGUGUAC